CCAAGCAGCCAGAUCACCCUGCAACUCACACCUGGCAACUCACUGAAGCUAAGCAAGUGUGAGCUUGGUUAGUACCUAGAUGGGAGAACUCCUGGGAAAAACUAAGGUUCUGCUGGAA
rnacentral:rRNA from 1 species